rnacentral:rRNA from 1 species
GAUGAACGCUGGCGGCGUGCCUAAUACAUGCAAGUCGAACGCUGAAGGAGGAGCUUGCUCUUCUGGAUGAGUUGCGAACGGGUGAGUAACGCGUAGGUAACCUGCCUGGUAGCGGGGGAUAACUAUUGGAAACGAUAGCUAAUACCGCAUGACAACAGUUAUUGCAUGAUAACUGUUUAAAAGGGGCAACUGCUCCACUACCAGAUGGACCUGCGUUGUAUUAGCUAGUUGGUGAGGUAACGGCUCACCAAGGCGACGAUACAUAGCCGACCUGAGAGGGGGCUCGGCCCCACUGGGACUGGGACACGGCCCCGACUCCUACGGGAGGCAGCAGUAGGGAAUCUUCGGCCAAUGACCGCAGUCUGACCGCGCAACGCCGCGUGAGUGAAGAAGGUUCUCGGAUCGGAAAGCUCUGUUGUAAGAGAAGAACGAGUGUGAGAGUGGAAAGUUCACACUGUGACGGUAUCUUAACAGAAAGGAACGGCUAACUACGUG